ensembl:misc_RNA 7SK 7SK RNA
GGAUGUGAGGGCAAUCUGGCUGCGACAUCUGUCACCCCAUUGAUCACCAGGGUUGAUUCUGCUGAUCUGGCUGGCUAGGCGGGUGUCCCCUUUCUCCAUGUGCAUCCCUCCCAAAGCUGUGCACUCGGUCAAAGAGGACGACCACCCCCAAUAGAGGAGGACCGUUUCCUCCGUCAAGGAUACACGAGUAGCUGCACUCCCCUGCUAGAACCUCCAAACAAGCUCUCCAAAGUGCAGGUUAAGCAGACCUAAUGGUACAUGUACAUCUGUAAUCCCAGGGUCCCAGAUAC